CCUGUGGGGUGCAAACUUCCCACCCGACUGCAGAGCAGAGCAGAGCAGCGUCACGCCGCGUGUGCCCGGCGCAGGCCGGCUAUCGGGCACAGCCCCUGGGCUGAAUCCACGUGCACAGGGGUCUGACUUAUUCUGGGGUUGGGCAGUGGAGGUGUUUGGUCGCGCGGAUGUAUCUCCUCCUUCGCUGUCCCAAUGGCGCGGGGUCGAGGUGAUCUCGCAUUUGUGAAAGCGGUGGCAGUCCCUGUUUUCCACCGGCUCCCUAACCCGGUAACCAGCUGCUUCGCUGCACCCGCCCCAUCGGUGUUUCCGCCAAAAGAGCCAAUAAUGAAGUGGCUGCGAUAGGAUCAGCUCCGACAGGAGAUACCAAAGAAACUGAAUUCAGAACUUGGCAAAUAACCUAACUGGAUAAUAAAACUGUAGUCCCAAUCCUGCAAACCUUCUACAUGUGGAACUCUCACUGAUGUCUAUGGAAGUUCUGCCUGUGGAGAGCUUACAGAAUCAGGCCAUAAUGUGGCCUCCUGCAGGAGAUUUGGAUGCAUAAAGAAAUGCAGAAUCAGGUCCCAGCCUAUUUCCCACAGGCAACUGAACUAUCAGCUUUAACAGCGUUCAGUCACUCAGACUACAUUUGAACUCAUAAGCCAGAGAUGAAAAGCUCCAAAUCCCAUCACCAAGCCAAGAAUGCAUCACAGCGAGGCAUCUGACUCUCUGAACUUCUUCCUAUAUUGGAUUUUAAAAGAAAAGCUGUGUUUUAG